rnacentral:rRNA from 1 species
CACGUAGGGUGCGAGCGUUUGUCCGGAAUUAUUGGGCGUAAAGAGCUCGUAGGCGGUCUGUUACGUCCGCUGUGAAAACCCAGGGCUUAACCCUGGGCUUGCAGUGGAUACGGGUAGACUAGAGGCAGGUAGGGGAGAAUGGAAUUCCCGGUCGUAGCGGUGAAAUGCGCAGAUAUCGGGAGGAACACCGGUGGCGAAGGCGGUUCUCUGGGCCGUACUGACGCUGAGGCGCGAAAGCGUGGGGAGCGAACAGG